GACAGUGUGGCAUAAUGGUUCAAAAGUUGGACUAUGACUCUGGAGACCAGGGUUCAAAUUCCUGCUCAGCCA